rnacentral:tRNA from 1 species
GGAGCGGUAGUUCAGCUGGUUAGAACGCCUGCCUGUCACGCAGGAGGUCGCGGGUUCGAGUCCCGUCCGUUCCG